UACGUAGGUGGCAAGCGUUGUUCGGAAUUAUUGGGCGUAAAGGGCGCGUAGGCGGUUUGUUAAGUCAGCUGUGAAAGCCCGGGGCUCAACCCCGGAGGGUCAGCUGAUACUGGCAGGCUAGAGUACAGAAGAGGUAACUGGAAUUCCCGGUGUAGCGGUGAAAUGCGCAGAUAUCGGGAGGAACACCGGUGGCGAAGGCGGUUCUCUGGGCCUUACCUGACGCUGAGGAGCGAAAGCGUGGGGAGCGAACAGG
rnacentral:rRNA from 1 species